CCCCGUCUCUCCCUUUCCAAUGGAUGCAAUAGCGCUAUGUGUCCACCAGAUGGAGGUAUUGGAACAAAAUUAACAUCCAUCUGGUGGCCACAUAGCGCUAUUGCAUCCAUUGGCUUUAUCACUGACACUGUCAGCCAAUCCAAAGACAUCUCUCUCCCUCUCUGUCAUAUUUUUCUCUGCAACAACUGUUUAACUUUCCCUCUCCCUUUUUUCUUUCUCUCUCUCCUUUUCCCUCUCUCCCUCUCCUCUCUCUGCCUUUCCCUUUCUCUUGCUCUCUAUUUUUCUUUCUCUCCCCCUCCUUUUCCCUCGCUCACUCUCGCUCUCUCCCUUUUUUUCUCUCUCCUUUUCCCUCUCUCCCUCUUCUCUCUGCCUUUCCCUUUCUCUUGCUCUCUAUUUUUCUUUAUCUCCCCCUCAUUUUCUCUCUCCCUUUCCCUCUCGCUCUCCCUCGCCCUAUCUCUCUCCCUCUCUCGGUCUCCCUCUCUCCCCCUUUCCCUCGAUCUCUCCUUUUCCUCUCUCACUUUUUUCUCACUCCUUCUCUCUCCCUUUCCCUCUUUCCCUUUCUCUCGCUCUCUCCCUUCCCCUCGAUCUUCUUCCCCUCUCCCCAUCCCCUCUCUCCCGCUCUUUUCUCUCUCUCCCCCUUUCCCUCUCCUCUCUCUACUUUCUCUCGCCCUCGCUCUCUUUCUCUCUCUCCCCCUUUCCCUCUUUCUCCUCUCGCCUUUC
rnacentral:lncRNA from 1 species